rnacentral:tRNA from 1 species
UAGCUCAGUUGGUAAAGAAUCUGCCUGCAAUGCAGGAGACCCAGGUUCAAUCCUGG